rnacentral:lncRNA from 1 species
CUUAAUCCCGCGCGGCUCAGAGAUGGGUUUCUGGACUCGCGAAGCAGCUGCAACAAGGCAUCACUCACUGUAUAAGUAUUUCCAUUUCUGAGAGCAAAAGGAAGAACUUAAGCGGGCGGCACUUGGAGUGUAAAUUGCUUUGUAGUAUUUAAAGGCAGAAUGGAUCCUGGGCAGCCGAGCUGCAACAAACCGGCAGGACUUCCUGUGAAAUCAUGACCACCAUGUGCUCUUUCAGCCUCUAUCAGUUCCUACCUCUAAGCACCUGAGAGCCAAAGCAAACCACAGGAAACCACAGAAUGAAAGCCAAGCAUAUUCCAUCAUUUCCUAAAACCAAGAUAGAGCACAUAUGGGAACUUGUGAAAUAAGGAUGCCCUGCGGUUGUUUUCAGGACUGAAGACAACAGCUCCACGAUGAAACCAAAGCACAAAGAGAGAAAGAAAAGAAAGAGAAAAAAGGAAGAAAGAAAAGAAAGAUGAAAGAAAGAAAGAGAAAGAAGAGAGAGGGAGAGAGAGAAAGAAAGAGAAGGAAAGAAAGAAGGAAGAAGAAAGAAAGAAAGAAAGAAAGAAAGAAAGAAAGAAAGAAAGAAAGAAAGAAAGAAAGAAAGAAAGAAAGAAAAAAGGAAGGAAGGAAAAGAAACACAUGGAAAGUGACAGGCUCCCUUUGUAUAUCACCUUGCAUGGUAAAGUGCAGAGAGCUCCAUCAGAGAAAUGCAGUUAAAAUCCAGUAGAUACCACCGUACACCUGAAAGACUUGUGAACAAACAGAUGACAGAAAAACAAAACAAAGCAAAACAGAACCUGAGAAUUUGAAUUGCUGCUUCUUUGGACCUUUUAAGUUGCAUUAUCCCAUAAAAUGUGGUGGAUUCAAUGUUGUAUGGCCUGUAAAACUAAGUAAUGAAGGCUGAUAUGUACCCACCUGGCUCUGUCUUGGGAUCACACAACUUGGGAGCCAAAACAGAUUGCAAAUGAUGUUCAAAUCAAGGACUGGCUUAAGGGAGAAAAUCAAUUAUACUGUACAA